GUUUUCUGAUGGACCAAAGACACUCGAAAACUACUUAAGAGUCAGUGAGAACUGGGAUUCUGAGCAUACAACCAGUAAUAUCCUGAACAAUAAUCAUCUGAUGAAGAUUGAAUACUCCCACUCUCACCUCUAUUCACUUAUAUGAUUAAAUCAGAAAUCUACUUGAAUCACAGAGAUAAAUAAUGGGCAGCAAUAAUGGAGCACAUGAAGCAGACCAACGCCGUCGAGCAGAGGAGGAACGCAACACAGCUCAAGCUCAGACAGCAGCACUCCGGGAACAAUUUUAUAACUUACAAAAAGAAAGAGAUUUUGAGAAAAUGAAACAAGAAGAAAAGAGAAAAAUAGAUGAGAAUAACCGAUUUAAGGAACGAGAAGAAAGGAACAGAAUUCAACUAGAAAAUCAAAAGUCACUAAAUUAAAACAAAAGUAAAUAAUUUGGUUGUGUUAAUGAAAGAUUGAAAAAAAAUGCAUUCUGUAUUGAUGCUCAUUUGCCAUAUGCCUCAAAAUCUCAAAAUAUUAUGUUAGAUGUUUUACAUAUUCUAUAAUGAUUUGUUAAGCUUUAUUCAUAUACCCAUACUGUAUUAUUUGCACCAAAACACUAAUGGUGUUUUAGGAGUGCUCACCUACAAAAAAAACAUGCAGCAUUUCUGUCAGCAACACAUAUUUUUGUUAUUAGUUGUUAUGUCAACUAUUAAAAGUGAAAAGCUCACUGUUCUACUUUUAAAAAAAAACUUACUUCAACUGAUAACAGCUUAAAAAAUGUAUACAUUAAUACCUAAUUUUUCUCACUUUAAGGUUGGGCUGCACCAACAAGGAUUAAAUUAAACAGUGUUUAGAGCUUAUCUAGGGUUUGUUGAUCCCAGCUUAAUUUUUAUUUGAGUUGUGUUGCACCACUUAAAUUUUUACACUGAUUAACAAAAUAAAUGAUUAAAACUUUACCCGGUAUUAAAACCUUCAUCUGUGAUUUAUUUUGUCUGCCAUGAUGAAUUUGCCGGUGUAAUUAAAAAGUAAUAAUGUUGAUGUUGUCAUUUAAAAAGGAAAUAA